GAAAGGUUUGGUCCUGGCCUUUCCAUUAGUUCUAGGUAAAACUACACAUGCAAGUAUCCGCGCCCCAGUGAGAAUGCCCUCUAAGUCACACUUGACCAAAAGGAGCGGGUAUCAAGCACACUACCAAGUAGCUCAUAACGCCUUGCUUAGCCACACCCCCACGGGAUACAGCAGUGAUAAAAAUUAAGCCAUGAACGAAAGUUUGACUAAGCUAUACCUACGUUACUAGGGUUGGUAAAUUUCGUGCCAGCCACCGCGGUCAUACGAUUAACCCGAAUUAAUGGAACUACGGCGUAAAGCGUGUUUAAGAGAAUAAUAAAAUAAAGUUAAGUUUUGACUAAGCUGUAAAAAGCCCUAGUCAAAAUAAAAAUAAACCACGAAAGUAACUUUACAGACCUCUGAAUACACGACAGCUAAGACCCAAACUGGGAUUAGAUACCCCACUAUGCUUAGCCCUAAACCCAGGUAACUCGCACAACAAUAUUAUUCGCCAGAGUACUACUAGCCAUAGCCUAAAACUCAAAGGACUUGGCGGUGCUUUAUAUCCCUCUAGAGGAGCCUGUCCUAUAAUCGAUGAACCCCGAUAGACCUCACCAACUCUUGCUAAUUCAGCCUAUAUACCGCCAUCCUCAGCAAACCCUAAUAAAGGAGCUGCAGUAAGCACAAACACAAGACAUAAAAACGUUAGGUCAAGGUGUAGCCCAUGAGCUGGGAAGAGAUGGGCUACAUUUUCUUACCAAAGAACACUCAAACAAUCACACGGAACCCUUCAUGAAAUAGGAGGUCAAAGGUGGAUUUAGCAGUAAACCAAGAACAGAGAGCUUGGUUGAAUCAGGCCAUGAAGCACGCACACACCGCCCGUCACCCUCCUCAAAUAUAUAUAGCAUAGACUAAAUAUAUUAAAUAUGCACAAAAUAUGAGAGGAGACAAGUCGUAACAAGGUAAGCGUACUGGAAAGUGCGCUUGGGUAUAC
rnacentral:ncRNA from 1 species